AGUCGAGCGAUCGAUGGGAGCUUGCUCCCUGAGAUUAGCGGCGGACGGGUGAGUAACACGUGGGCAACCUGCCUAUAAGACUGGGAUAACUUCGGGAAACCGGAGCUAAUACCGGAUACGUUCUUUUCUCGCAUGAGAGAAGAUGGAAAGACGGUUUACGCUGUCACUUAUAGAUGGGCCCGCGGCGCAUUAGCUAGUUGGUGAGGUAAUGGCUCACCAAGGCGACGAUGCGUAGCCGACCUGAGAGGGUGAUCGGCCACACUGGGACUGAGACACGGCCCAGACUCCUACGGGAGGCAGCAGUAGGGAAUCUUCCGCAAUGGACGAAAGUCUGACGGAGCAACGCCGCGUGAACGAAGAAGGCCUUCGGGUCGUAAAGUUCUGUUGUUAGGGAAGAACAAGUACCAGAGUAACUGCUGGUACCUUGACGGUACCUAACCAGAAAGCCACGGCUAACUACGUGCCAGCAGCCGCGGUAAUACGUAGGUGGCAAGCGUUGUCCGGAAUUAUUGGGCGUNAAGCGCGCGCAGGUGGUUCCUUAAGUCUGAUGUGAAAAGCCCACGGCUCAACCGUGGAGGGUCAUUGGAAACUGGGGAACUUGAGUGCAGAAGAGGAAAGUGGAAUUCCAA
rnacentral:rRNA from 1 species